rnacentral:misc_RNA from 1 species
GGAAGGAUCAUUAUUGGUAUUGGGUCUAAAUGGCCCGACCUCCAACCCUUUGUUUACCUAUCCUUGUUUGCUUCGGCGAGUUCCUCUGAGGACUGGCGAGGGUUAAUCCCUCGACUCGUCGAUAGCCCCCCAAUAUCAACUCCUACAAACAAUGAUUGUCUGAGUCCCAAAACAAUGCAAAAACUUUCAACAACGGAUCUCUUGGUUCUGGCAUCGAUGAAGAACGCAGCGAAAUGCGAUAAGUAAUGCGAAUUGCAGAAUUCAGUGAGUCAUCGAAUCUUUGAACGCAUAUUGCGCCCUUUGGUAUUCCGAAGGGCAUGCCUGUUCGAGCGUCAUUACAACCUCUCAAGUAUGGCUUGUAGUUGGACUCAUGUCAGUGACUGGCUGGCUUGGUCUCAAAGAUAGCGACGGCGUCCACGAGGCUCCUGGUACGAUGAGCUUUUGAAAAGCAUGUAUCGUGGAAAUUCGGGAAGCUUGUCACUGCACUUCAUUUUCAGAAGUUGACCUCGAAUCAGGUAGGAAUACCCGCUGAACUUAAGCAUAUCAAUAAGCGGAGGAAAAGAAACCAACAGGGAUUGCCCCAGUAACGGCGAGUGAAGCGGCAAUAGCUCAAAUUUGAAAUCGGCCCUUGGUCGAGUUGUAAUUUGUAGAGGAUAUUUCUGGGGACAGCUGCGGUUUAAGUUUCUUGGAACAGAUUGUCAGAGAGGGUGAGAACCCCGUCUGGAGCCGUUGGCUGAAACCAUAUGAAAGUCCUUCGACGAGUCGAGUUGUUUGGGAAUGCAGCUCAAAAUGGGUGGUAAAUUUCAUCUAAAGCUAAAUAUUGGCCAGAGACCGAUAGCGCACAAGUAGAGUGAUCGAAAGAUGAAAAGUACUUUGAAAAGAGAGUUAAACAGUAUGUGAAAUUGUUGAAAGGGAA